GUGAAAACGCUGCCAGUAGAACGUUUGAAAAUAAAGCUACCUGUGUAACGUAGAACCAUUCGUGUUGCCCUUUUCUUGCAUCGAGAUUAUAGGAGAGACCCAUAAUCCGGCUGAGAGAUAGCUCAGCUAUAAACCGGAGAACCGGCCAUGGAGCGGCUCAGUAUCGACCAACGCAUCCUUAUUGUGAAAACCGUAAUUUUCGAAGGCUACAAAACAUUGCAUAGUUGAAGACCAAGAAUAGCCUUUAAUGGGUACAUGUGAAAUCACAAGCAUACGUGAACAAAUCUAAAACUAUUACCGAUCUGAUGAUGGAAAUUCAACGGGUAGUUGGCGAAAUCGACAGAGACGUCUGAAAAAGAGUUACCGUUAGUUUCAACGACCGGAUGAUUGUCUGCAGAAAAAGUGGAGGUGGACAUAUGCUCGAUAUCAUUUUUCAUUAUUGAAUUGAAGUAUAUAUUGAAUGAAAUUAAAUAAAAAAUUUGAGUUUUACUUCAA